GUAAACGAUGGAUACUAGGUGUAGGGGGCGAUAGCCUUCUGUGCCGCAGCAAACGCAAUAAGUAUCCCGCCUGGGGAGUACGAUCGCAAGGUUGAAACUCAAAGGAAUUGACGGGGGCCCGCACAAGCAGCGGAGCAUGUGGUUUAAUUCGAAGCAACGCGAAGAACCUUACCAAGGCUUGACAUCCCUUGACGUGCAUAGAAAUAUGCAUUCCCUUCGGGGCAAGGAGACAGGUGGUGCAUGGUUGUCGUCAGCUCGUGUCGUGAGAUGUUGGGUUAAGUCCCGCAACGAGCGCAACCCUUAUUGCUAGUUGCCAGCGAGUAAAGUCGGGAACUCUAGUGAGACUGCCGGGGACAACUCGGAGGAAGGUGGGGACGACGUCAAAUCAUCAUGCCCCUUAUGUCUUGGGCUACACACGUGCUACAAUGGCCGGUACAAAGGGCAGCGAAGCCGCAAGGCGAAGCGAAUCUCAUAAAGCCGGUCCCAGUUCGGAU
rnacentral:rRNA from 1 species